ACUAGAGCUCACUUCUCUGACUACUAGUCCAUGCACUCUCUAUAAACACCAUGAAUUCGAAAGAGGUUAGAUCUCUCUGAGGCAGAAUGGUUAAAAAAGAUGGAAACUGAGGAGGGUUUUGAAGAUCACUGAACACUCUGAUAAGCAGAAGGAUAUGGAGGCCACUUAGAAUUUCAAAAAGGGAUAAUUGUGUGAGCAGAGAUAUACAGGUUGUCACAGAAAGCAUAAAAAGUGCAACAAUACUAACUACUGUCUACUACACGAUCAGAAUUCUCCUGCUUUCUUCUAACGACAGGAUGGAGAGCCUUUACCUGGGCCCAUUGUUCAGGGCAGAUUCUGGACACUCAACCCCAGUAACUUGUUACUGCCAUCUACCCUGCCUGAAGAGCCCCUUGGGGCCUGAGAAGCUCCACUCUGCCCCACCUUCCUCCUCACUUGGUCUCAGCAAGAUUCUCCCAGCAGAAGCUGAAGAUGCUGAAGGAGCUCUCCAGGGCAUGUGCACACUCAUCUGGCUUCUUAUCCCCAGGAAGGCCAAAAAUACAGAGGAACAUGCAGCCCUGGGACAGAUGACAAAGAAGGAAAAGAGAAGUUUACAUAGGGAAAGAAUAUGCUUGCCUCAACUGGACCAACUCCCCUGAAUGCAGCCAGAGCCUUUCCCCACUCGUUUUCUGUUAGAAAUGUUGAAUUCUACAGGAUUCAUGAAACGGACACUCUGGGCCAUAUCAACACGGAGAUUUAAGAAAAAAAAAAAGAAAAUCUUAAUUUAACUCUUUAAGGAACUGAAAUUUCAAACACAAGAAAAACUGAUGUCAAGAACUUUUCAAAAAUUCUAUUUCUAGUAUAUGCCUUGAGUUAAGCCUAUCUGCCCACAUUUUAUUCACCCACAAUGUCAUGUAUUAUGAUAUUACUCUUUUUCAAUCUCCUCAAUUAUCAGAAAUAUCUGAUUUACUUUACUAAUAGAGCCAGACAAUUAUUCUUUUGCUCUACCAAAGAUUUUCAACAAGAAUUAAAUGAAAAAAGGACAUGGAGAAUAAUCCUCAGUUACCCUGAAAAUUAAAUUAACUAGAACAUCCCAUUCUUUAACUAUUAUUAGUUGAACUUUCAGUGUCAUACAGCUUGUCACAAAAUAAAUAGCAGGGAAUCUGACUUACACAUGUGUUAUGUGAAAUACAAGACUAUUAUUCUUCACUCACCUUUAACACUGAUGAGUCAAGUUUCCUUGUACUUACUUUCUCAAACAUAAAGAUCCGGCUUAGCUGGCCACCCCCUUUCUCUAUGACUGUGGAGAUGUACAGGGCAGCCUCCUGGAUAAGAUGACACAAAUGCAACAUCCAUGCUGUCUUGUGGAACUCUAGGCUGACCAAAACCAUAGUCACAGUACGGAAUUCAGAUAUAUACUCCAUAGGCUGCCCUUCAUCAAUCUACAAAAAACACGGUCAGUUAUCUUGCCAAUAUCUUCAACAUUCAAUAUCAUGUUUAGCCAUUGAAAUUCUGUAUUCCAUGGUGAGUAUGACAAAAUAACUUACAGAUGUCAGACUAAAAACCUACAAUUCAGGUUUGAAAAGUAUAGAAGAUGUACAAACCAGUGCACUUGGAAUUAAAACUGUUUGACUUUCAACCUAAUUCACUGAUGAUAUUUGCCAGGCUUUUAGGUUUUCUCUUUAUAAGUUAGAUAUGUUCAUUCUAUUAGUCAUUAUAUCACUUACUAAAGGAUUCAUAUAAAUUCAUAUAUACAUAAUAGAUCAACACAUAUUUACCAAACAUAUACUCUCUUCCCUGUUUACAAUGUACCAGCUUCUUGAGGGACAAAUUGAAAAAACAAUAUAGCUUCCACUUGCAAGAACUGAGAAAUCUGAGGGUAUGAUACGUUAUCACAGUAAUUGGUACAAAUGGGGAAACCUGCUGGCAUUACAAUGGAGAGCAGGAGAUGAACUCGAUCAGUAUGAAAAGGUGAUCACAUAUAAAUGUACACCUGUCAACAUAAACAUACACACAAUCUACACGGUGACUCAAGAAUUAGGAAUAACCUUCUUCAAAAGGUUUUUCAUUAUGUGCUUCCUCAGGGUUUGUUCAAGCGCAAAGUCUGGAUCCAACUCCAGGGCAGUUCUUAGAGUAUCUGAGAAAAGGAAAACAAACAAAAUGUCUCCAGUCAUGUGGAAAAUUUAUCUUUGAAAUUUUGGGUUUAGGUAGAAAGGACCAAAUAACUUACCAGCACUUGUCCGGUAAUGUGGCAGGUAAUCAAGGCACUUGUCAAAAUGCUCAUCAAAAUCAAAUGGGUCAAUGAUCCGCAUAUCUCUUAACUAUAGAAAGGAAACUGCUCAAUUGUGUACCCACCCACCAACCGGUUUACUGUUGGUCCCUUAACAGAGGGGUUGAGGAUGCCAUUUACCUUGUUUAUCAUUUAUCUUUCCAGCCUCAUUGUUCUGCCUCGUCUAACUUCCUGGGAGAGUAUCCCCCACCUCCCUCCAAAAUAGAGUUCCAAUAGUUGUUGGUUUGGUCAAGCCAUAUGCAACCACCACCAGAACACUGCCUGUGUAGUAGGAAGGCCUUUUUAGGACAUGUGAUGGGUAGGACUAGCCUCCUACCUUCACAGCUUCAUCCUCCUUCAUGAUUUCCACUUCAAACAUGUACUGCUCACAGAGCUUCCAGCAGUUCCAGGACAAGACAAUCUCAUUUGCCUGAGCUAAACGCUGAGCUAACUGGACAUCAUCUACAUCCCGCCCAAUCACCAAGAGGUACUGUCGCUGCUCAUCUCCAACAAUAACCUGAGAAAUUCGACCGGCAGAUAGACCUAUCCAGAAAAAAAAGGAGACAAGUGGUGAAUAGCCAAACUAAAAUGGAAAACUAUGCAAAGGGUGGGGUCUGGAAUCCUCACAUUGCUUUAUGCAUCAAGCCAAUCUUAUUAUUGCAAAAAUAUUAGGUGAGCCUAAUUUCUUAGAUUUUCUUCUGUCUUACGCAUACCCAGAGACAUUCAAACAAGACCGGGGUUGUAUGGGGGUUAGAAGCAAGAGAUCCUGGGCUUCUAAGAUUCCUCUCUUUAAACUGUUCUUCUAAUAAACAGCUAGGUCUUGAUGACAGAGACCAAAUGGUUAUAUUCAGAAACUCCUGCCACAGUGACUAUACCACCUCUUCAAUGUAUAAUCAAGGCUAAGUGAGUAAACAAUAUUUUACCCGACUUGGGCUUUGCCAUACACUUUUAUUCUAUCUCCUGUUUUUCUUACCCCAAGGCAUUUCUAACUGCUAAUAUAAAAAACUGAUUAACUUGCCAGGGGUAAAAGGACUAUAUCCAAAUAAAGUCUGUCCUUAAUUAAGUUACCCAAUCUAAGCUAAAAACAAAGGGAAGAUAGUUUUAAAAGAAUGGCAGAGAUAUAUACUUUUCAACAACAUGGCUUAACAGGUAGUCAAUUUACCAUAAUUCCCAUAACAAUGAAGAAACUAGAAAAAACACACACAAAGUAACAGUUUUAAAGAUAUUGGACAUCAGGUAAUGAAGGACAAUGUUAUCUGAGAGAUGGGAAACAAACGAGGUCAACCCUCUGAUACCCUAGCUUACUGCAUAGAAGAGUUUCCAGGACAUCUGGGAGAGGGGAAACUCAGGUAUAGUCCAGAGGACUUCUCAAGUUGGGGAAACAGAGCUAGAAUCUGAGGAGGUCAAGGCAGCUACAGCUCACAGGGCAUUGUGGGUAUUGGAGAGAAGUAUACAGAGAGAUAAUUCUAGAGAUCUGUACCAGAAUCCCCUACAAGUCUUUAUCUGAGUACUAAGUACUAAUAAGUACAUCGUGAGGAAACUAUCUGAAACCAGGGAAAGAACCACCUGAAAAGAUUAGAAGGAACAAUCCCAAAUAUCACACAGGGCUGGCAAUGGUUCCUAUUCCCACUAGCCAGAGUGUCAAACUUUAUCAUUCACAGGAUAUUAGGUACAGUAUGCAGAAGUUUGCCUCAGGAAUAGAGCAACGCCAGCUCUAGACUAAACACUGCUGUGGUCCCAUCCAACAAAGUUUAAAAACAAAACCUGAAAAAUCAAGCUAACUGCAUCCCAGAACUAUGCUCAAAAAUACUUAUAUAGAAGUAUAUUAAAAAAUCCAGCAUCCAACAAGGUUAAAUUCACAAUGUAUGGCACCCACUAAAAAUAACCAGUUAUGCAAAGAAAAAUAUGAUCCACAAUGAAGAGGAAAAUCAAUCCCAACUCAGAAUAGUACAGAUGACACAAUUAGUAAAUUAAAAAAACAUUAAAAGUUAUAAUUAUAUUCAAGAACUUAGAAAAAUGACUGAACAAGUAGAGACAUUGAAAAAAGUCUGUACACCUGAAAAAUCAGCAAUAGAAACUAUCCAAAAUGAAACACAGGGAGAAAAAAAGAAACAAUGAACACAGGAUCAGUGUAGGACAAUUUCAAGCAGCCUAAUAUGUAAUUGGACAGAGGAGGAGGAAGAGAGAAAAAAUUACUUGGAAAAAUAAUGGAAGAACAUUUUCUAAAUUUAAUAAAACCCAAACCCCUAUAGAUCCAGAAUCUCAAUGAGCUGCAAGCACAAGAAAAAUGAAGAAAACUAGACCAAGGGACAUCAUAAUCAGAAUACCCAAAACCAGUGAUAAAUAAAAAAAAAAACAAUAAGAGCAAUCAGGAUGGGGAAAAGACAUAUAUAAAGAAACAAAGAUAAAGAUGAAAGUAGAUUUCUUGUUGGAAAUGCUCAAGCUAGAAGACAAUGGAACAACUUUAAUGGAAGAGAAAAAAUCCCCAUCAACCUAGAAUCCUAUACCCGGUAAAAAUACCUUUCAAAAAAUGGGUGAAAUAUUUUUUUCAGACUUACAAGAGCUUAACUAAAACAUGUCCAGCAAAUCCACACUAUGAGAAAUAUUAAAAGGAGUUCUUCCAAGAGACAAUGAUUAAGUGUUAACAAGGACAUGGACAAAGUGAACAGAUAAACAAACUGUGGCUAUAUCCAUAGAAUACUACUCAGCAGUAAAAAGUAAUUAACUAUUGAUACAUGCUACAAUAUUCUUUAAAAUGAAAAAUAAUCUCUAAAGACAGAUUAGAGACUUCUUGAGGAUAGGGAGGGGAGUAGGAAGAGAGAUUAUAAAAGGGUAUAUGUAAACUUCAGUGAGUGAUGGAUAUGUACAUUAUCAUAACUGUAGUGAUGGUUUCAAAAGUAUACAAAUAUGUUAUGUAGGGUAUCAAUUAUGAAUUAUCUAUCAAUAAAGCAAAAAACAACAACAAAGAUACUGGGACAGAAGAGAUGCCAUUUAAUUCAGAAUAUAAUUCUUCAGGCUAUUCCUCAAAAUAUAAGUGAAUAGGCAGAGUCAACUUUUGCCCUUCAUUCAGAAACCUGUUGAUGUUUCUGGGCUUCUGUGAAGGAGCUUUGUGUAUAGAGUUUCUCCUCUAAUCCUGAUUCUGUCACUGGUGAAAUUUUUGUCUGU